AAAAUUACCGAACAAAACCAAUUUAUAAAAAAAUACGUCUCUUUGAUAUAUAGUAUAAAUAUUUACCGUCUUCCCCUAGCUGCUCUUUUAUCCUUCGAACGCCUCCACGUAACGCCUCCACGUGACAUGUUUUUUAUUAGUUAAUUUUGGGUUGUUAUUUGUUAAUUUUUUCAAACAAAUGUAAUGAAAGUCCAAAUUCACUGUAAAUCAAAUAUCGUUUUUUUAUGGCGAAUCAAUAGACGAAACCGAAACCGAAAACAAACUGAAUAGAUACCGAAACUGGUUAACACCGAACCAAAUAAACCCGACAUGUUCGGUUGUUAAAAUAUGAAAUACCAAUAUUGUCGGUACGUGUUUGCUGUAUUGCAAAACCGAGCCGUACCGAGCCGUGCACGCUCCUACACAACAUUAGCAUUUGUCAUUCAAUCAUUGGAAAAAAAAAUGAUAUAUUAACUCGGGAAAAAAGUUGUUUCGUACUAGUAUUUAAUUUGUUAAUCACGAGUUAUCCUCGUGCAUAUGACGAGCUUUGUUGAAUCACAAUAUAACUUUCCAUCUUUGUAUAAGCGUUUCAUAAAUUAUUUUAUAAUAAUAUUAUUAUUUGUAACAUAUUAUUUAUUUUAAUGCUUGUACGUACUAUAACAAAUUUAAUAUCAGUAGAGAAUAUUAUUGUUAUUUAAGAUAAGAAUAAUAUUUUAUUCUUUUUACCAUGUCAAGUAUUAUUUCAUAAUAAAUAAGUAAGGGAGCCUUUGAAAUUAUUAUGAUAAUUCUUAAAUUUUUUUUUCACCUUGUAUUAAUUUUAAAAAAUAGGGAUGGACAAUAAGAGCAAGCUGUUGCUUAAGGGUGUGUGUGGUAUUUUUGAAUGUUGAAUAAUGAAGUUGCAAGCAAACAGUUAUUUUUAAUUUCUUUUUUAUGACACUCGUGCCGAAAUACAUGUAAUGUUUCAAUUUAUACAUUCUUGACGCUGGUAGGUUUCUAACUGUAAGAUCCUCCGCUGGUAAGUUUGUGCACAUGACCGUUUUUGUACUUUUAAUAUAAGCACGUAACCCUCUAUGGUAUUCCACUUGGUAAUCAAGACACGAGUUCAAAUGAAAAAUUCGAGCUUAUUUAGAAGUUCAUGUCGUUUAUUGGUUGAUUGAUCACAUUUUUUUAAGACUUCCAUAUGUACGAGCAAGAUAUAAUUUUAUGUUAUUUUUUAAUUGAAAAAUGGACAGAUGGAUAUUGUACGUACUAGCGAUGUAAGAUCCAAAACAUAUUGUACUUUUGUAAGGAAUGAAUGUACUAUAAACUAUUUAUAAAAAAAAAAUGUACUACAAACUCUAGACAAUUUAUGAAUGUGUCCUUUUCUACUUUCCAAUAUUCCAUGUUUGAUAAGUACAAAUGAUUUUGUUUCGUAGUGAAAGAUCAUUGCAUUUCUUCUUGCCUUAGCUUUAUUCCAAUUGCAUUCUUAUUUUUCUUUUGGUUGUAGCUUAAUAUUAUUUUGUUUUUGCAUGAGCAUUCAUGUUUAUUGUUGUUGUUUUUGUUGUUAAACAGCAUGGCGCAGGUCCUGCAACAAUAUCAAAGUCGAGUCGAGAGUGGGAAAGAUGGUUGCGAUACAAAGGUAAGAUUCACGCCUCCGACAAUAGAUUUUGGAAGAAAAAAAAAACAAAAAAAGAAAAGCUGAAUACACAGGUCUUACUCGAGAUUUAUAUUGUCAAAAUGUGGAUCAUUACUGAAAUUUGAAGCAUUGUCAAUUAUCAAUUAAGGAAGAUAAUUUCGUAAUCUUUCACGUCUGUCAUAUAACUACAUGAUUGGUGAUAUUAAUAAAUACACGAGUUUGAUUGAUAAUAUUUAUUCUUGUGAGAUAUGUGGUGUUUGGAACUUUUGUAGUCAUCAGUCUCGUGUGAUAUUUGAGGCCUAAUAAUUCUUCCACAAAUAGAAAUAAAUCUACAAACGGACGUAAUACAUUACUUCGAACUAAAGUAGGAAGGCCAUUUUUUGUUUGAAGUAAAGUCUCUAAGCUACGUAUGGAUGGUAGAGGUUUCAAAUCCAUAAUAACAAAUUUCUUGCACUUGUUUGGAUUGAGAGAUUUGAUGAAGAAUUUCAAAUCCACACUCCUCCUUUUUAGUUAUAAAUUGGGUCAUUCGUGUUGAUUUCAAAUGACUACAAAUCAUAGUCAUUUCAACUCUUCCACAAAUCAAAUCCUUCUAUCCAAAUGGAGCCUUAGGCAGUUUGGACUCAUGGAUUUAAAACAAGUCCAAAUGAAGAGAUUUGAGAUCCCCACAACUGCUCUAAAAUGAUAGCUAUGGAUAUAAAAUUCCUAAAUCAAUUCCUUCUAUCCGAAUGUACCUUAAGUUUAAUUUUUCAUUUGGAAUUCCUUUUCUUUUUUCUUUUUAAUUUAGUCGUUUUUAAUAUAUGCUUUAUCUCGAUUCUAUUCGUCUCUAUGUUACUCUUCGUUACCUCGUUCCCGUUCACUCUCGCUCUGGAUCAAGUGUUCCUUUUCCAAAAUCAAUUAGUUUAAUUAUAUAUGCCUACAAAAUCUGGUCACAUGAGAGAAGAUUUUAUGUUAGAGAUCAUGAUACUUUUGGUAGAUUGGUUUAGAAUUUCUUGCCAUUUGCUCGCUCUCUUUCUGGAUAUGUGAUCUCUUAAUUUUCUAACACAUAACGAUAACUUAGUUGACCUAUCUAGUUGAUUUUAGUCAACCACCAAUAUCCAUUCAUAUAUACGUUUAUGCACCUUAAGUUGGAACUGCGUAAGUUACGUAACACUUCCCUCGAGCUAGAGUCUAUGAAUAAGUGGCAUAAUUAAUUGAUAGCAGUGUCAAGACAGAGCAAUAAGAGUAGUAAUAACCGCAUAAAAGACAACACCAAGAGUGACACAAAACGAAGAGGACUAGUCAGAAAUUAUGGUUUCAAAUUCGGUUUUGAGAUUAUUUUCAAGAUGUUCCAACUCUCUCUGGAUACACUCGACACCAUGGUAAAAUAGAAACAGCAGGGUUGGUCAGACGAAAUAUUAUAGAAAUGCUAGAAAUAUAAUAAUAUUAUAGAAAGAGCCGUCUCCCUUUAUAAGAGAUGGGAACAUAGUUUUAAUAAAGAAGUUCUUCAAAUUAUACACAUAUAAGGGCAUUCAUUUCACACGGUGAUUUGAUUGAUUGGGCAGGAUCUGCUGUACUCCAGAAACGGUGAUUAUCUUACAUAUAGUGAGCUUCUCAAAACUGUUGGAAGGUAACUCCCAAUUUUGAAUAAUUUAAUUUUGUUUUUGUUGCAACACUUUCGGGGUUGUUUACUCACAAGUUAUAUUUCUUUCCCAUAGUGAACUUAAGGAGCCACAUGUUGACAAGAUAAGUGUGGCGGACCUUGGGCUCAUGCAGAAACAUCUUGAGACUGCAUUAAUGGAUAUACGUUCGACUAAGGUUUCAUGUUUUUUUUCGAUUGCCUAUGUUUUUUUUUUUGUUUUUGACCAAGCAAAGCUAUGAUACAUUUGUCUUAAAACAAUGAUAUUCUUGUUAGCUUUUAUCUCGUAAAGUUUGUUCAAGAGCCAUUUCAUGAACUAGAGAAGUUAAAUUCAUAUGGUAGUUUUUGUUUACCUUUUUUGAUGAGCUGAGCUUAUGUGGCAAGAAUGUUCGAACCUCUUGAAUAUUAGUAGACUUCUUUCCAGUUUCUUGUGAACCUGUAAAAACUUAUUAAAGUUAAGUUCCAUUCAUAUAACAUUGUGAUGUCAGAAUUUAUUUUAUUACUUCAUGCAGACAAAAAUGACGAGGGAUGCUCAAUCAAGCCUUCAGGAAAAGGUUCGCAAAUCUAUUUUUGCCACUAUUAUAUUUCAGUGUUCUCCAGUGUGUGUGUGUGUGUGAAAAAAGAUAAAAGCUUAGAUGUUAUUGCGGAGAAUCGGUAGAUGUUAAGUAAGAUAAGUGCUUACAACAGCUUAUAUUAUGUGAACAGGAAAAGAUGCUGGAAGAAGAAAAAAAACAUUUCAACGAGGUUAUUAAAGUUGAAACCCUGAAUAUAAAUUUCAACGAGGUUAUUAUCACAAAAAUGAAUUUAUAAAUUAUAAAUUGUUUACAUAUUACAGAUUGUUGAAGGCAGUAAGUGUGCUAGGAAAAAGAAGGUGGUGAUAGAUCUCAACAUUGCCGCAGACGACAAAUAGAAGCAGCAUACAACACCGGACCUAGCUCGAUCAAACUUUUAUGUGCAAAAUAAAAAUAAAAUAUCUGCCGAAUCAUAAGAAUGCAUGCAGGUAUAAAUAAAAGGUGCUAGAGGAAUAUGGACCUACCUCUUUACUUGUUGCAUGGUGUGUAAGCUGCUUGAACC
rnacentral:lncRNA from 1 species